rnacentral:rRNA from 1 species
UAACUUUUGACAACGGAUCUCUUGGUUCUCCCAUCGAUGAAGAACGCAGCGAAACGCGAUAGGUAAUGUGAAUUGCAGAAUUCAGUGAAUCAUCGAAUCUUUGAACGCAUCUUGCGCUCCUUGGUAUUCCUCGGAGCAUGCCUGUUUGAGUGUCGUGAA